rfam:Gossypium hirsutum cultivar TM-1 chromosome 16, whole genome shotgun sequence
UGUUAAAAAUUCCAUCCAUUUGUACAAUUAAAAAUUAGUGUGAUUAACAAAAUAACUAGACAAUGACAUAUAAUGUGUCAUGUGUACCUUAUACUAACAUACAAUAACCAAUUUUUAACAACAUAAAUGGAUAAUUUUUUAAAA